AAGGGGUAGAGCUAAACUAUUGAUAUGCCCCUAUCUCUCUUUGGCAGUGGCUACAUCACCUCUUGGAUUCCAGCUCCCACCAGGCAGUCCCUACCAUGACUCCAGCUCUCACAGCUUACUUCCCUCCUAUUACAGAUGUGCUUUUCCACAUGGCAUAGAGGCAUGGCUGAAUCCUCACACCAUCAACUAGAGUGGGAAGCAUGUUCUUUCCUCCAAGUGGAGUUGGAAAUGUCCCAGGGAAGGACUCUAACUGGCCCCGCUGGAGUCAGGAUGAUGGGAAGCCAUUUCUGUGCAGGGAGACCCGGAAAGAACAAAAUAUCAAUCAACUUUGAGCAUCACCAGGACG